rnacentral:rRNA from 1 species
AUUGAACGCUGGCGGCAGGCCUAACACAUGCAAGUCGAGCGGAUGAAAGGGGCUCGCUCCUGGAUUCAGCGGCGGACGGGUGAGUAAUACGCAGGAAUCUACCUAGUAGUGGGGGAUAACGUUUCGAAAGGGGCGCUAAUACCGCAUACGUUCUGAGGAAGAAAGCAGGGGAUCGCAAGACCUUGCGCUAUUAGAUGAGCUUGCGUCCGAUUAGCUAGUUGGUGGGGUAAAGGCCUACCAAGGCGACGAUCUUUAGCUGGUCUGAGAGGAUGAUCAGCCACACUGGGACUGAGACACGGCCCAGACUCCUACGGGAGGCAGCAGUGGGGAAUAUUGGACAAUGGGCGAAAGCCUGAUCCAGCAAUGCCGCGUGAGUGAUGAAGGCCUUAGGGUUGUAAAGCUCUUUUACCAGGGAUGAUAAUGACAGUACCUGGAGAAUAAGCUCCGGCUAACUCCGUGCCAGCAGCCGCGGUAAAGUGUG